AUUGAACGCUGGCGGCAGGCUUAACACAUGCAAGUCGAACGAGUGGCGGACGGGUGAGUAAUGUAUGGGAAUCUAGCUUAUGGAGGGGGAUAACUACGGGAAACGGUAGCUAAUACCGCGUACCAUAGGAUGAGCCCAUAUGGGAUUAGCUAGUAGGUGGGGUAAAGGCUCACCUAGGCGACGAUCUCUAGCUGGUCUGAGAGGAUGAUCAGCCACACUGGGACUGAGACACGGCCCAGACUCCUACGGGAGGUAGCAGUGGGGAAUAUUGCACAAUGGGCGCAAGCCUGAUGCAGCCAUGCCGCGUGUAUGAAGAAGGCCUUAGGGUUGUAAAGUACUUUCAGCGGGGAGGCGUUACCCGCAGAAGAAGCACCGGCUAACUCCGUGCCAGCCGCCGCGGUAAUAC
rnacentral:rRNA from 1 species